UCUGUGCGAUAGGGUUGAUGCGCAGUCUGGCCUGCCCCCUGAGAGUUUUAAAGGGCCGCGGUAUUUGGACCGUGCUAAGGUAGCAUAAUAAAUAGUCUCUUAAUUGGAGUCUGGAAUGAAUGGUCGGACAUGAAGCAAGCUGUUUUAACUUUUAUUUUUGAAUUUUACUUUUAAGUGAAAAGGCUUAAAUUAUAUGGUGGGACGAUAAGACCCUAUAAAGCUUUACGCUUUAUUCUUCAGUUGUGGGAGUUCAGGUUUCUCGUUCUUAUUGAGUAGAGCGUUUCGUUGGGGCGACGGGAAUAUAAAUAAGUAACUGUUUUUACUUGAAAAAUAUAUUUUUAUAGGUGAGUUGAUCCUUUCUAGAGAUUAUAAGAUUUAAGUUACUUUAGGGAUAACAGCGUAAUUUAUCUUGAGAGUUCAUAUCGACAGAUGUAGUUGCGACCUCGAUGUUGAAUUAAAAUGUCCUAAGAUGUAGCAGUUUUAGCGGUAGGUCUGUUCGACCUUUAAAAU
rnacentral:rRNA from 1 species